UAGAAGGAGGGGAAGGGGAGGAGGGAGGAGGAAGGAGGGAGGGAUUCGGUCCGACCUCCAACCCUUUGUGAACCAAACUUGUUGCUUCGGGGGCGACCCUGCCGCUUCGGCGGUGCGGCGCCCCCGGAGGCCAUUAAACACUGCAUCAUUGCGUCGGAGUUAAAGUAAAUUAAACAAAACUUUCAACAACGGAUCUCUUGGUUCCAGCAUCGAUGAAGAACGCAGC
rnacentral:misc_RNA from 1 species